GACGUAGGGCGCGAGCGUUGUCCGGAUUUAUUGGGCGUAAAGAGCUCGUAGGCGGCUUGUCGCGUCGAUCGUGAAAACUCACAGCUCAACUGUGAGCCUGCGGUCGAUACGGGCAGGCUAGAGUUCGGUAGGGGAGACUGGAAUUCCUGGUGUAGCGGUGAAAUGCGCAGAUAUCAGGAGGAACACCGGUGGCGAAGGCGGGUCUCUGGGCCGAUACUGACGCUGAGGAGCGAAAGCGUGGGGAGCGAACAGG
rnacentral:rRNA from 1 species